GUUUAGAUUAGGUUGGAAGUCACCUGGGCUGAGCUGAUGGCUGAUUCCGUCAGCAAAAAGAACUGUGGAACAUACUGGCACUUGGGCCGGUGUGAAGCCACCCCCCUGCCAUGAAAAAUGGCUCUUCCCUGCCACAGCCGGCCCAGCGGGAGCCAGGUCAGGGCCUGGAGACACAGCGCCCCCCACCGGAGCCACUGCCCGGCCCAGCAGCACCUGCGGAGAAUCCCACCAGCUCCCACGCCUCCCGCCGCGCCACCGCCCCGGCUUUCUGCAAAUCCACCUUAUGGAAGCCGGAUAAGGUGAAGUCCACAUAUAACUAAAAGCGAGUUACUGAGGGUUACUUUCUUUGCAGAGUGGUUCCCCUAAAGGAUUCCUUUAAACAUGAUCCGGUCAGCCAGUGCUCACUUACGUUCACCAAGUCACGUCGGUUUGUGGCGGCAGGAGCCCAGCGUGCCAGGCACCUGCGGGAGGGGAAGAUGCUGGGUGGGGCCCU
rnacentral:lncRNA from 1 species